rnacentral:lncRNA from 1 species
UAAGAGAGAGUUACAAUUCCAAAAAACUUUUGGAAUGACCAUCAUUGAAUAUAUUCAAUGGAUCGGUUACUAAUACCAUUGGUCAUGGUCUCCCAUUAAAUUAAGGAGUGAUCCCCAACAUUAUUGUAUGUAUGGAUGUUACACUCUAACUCCAAUUAUUUUUACCAAAUGUCAUCUUGAGUCUUUACAAGACUGAUUUGAUUUUUGUUUUAGUUUUUAAUUUAUAGAAUAAAAUGAUGUUUUCUUUUAUAGAGACGAUUAAGAUUUUAGAACUUCAUUUUUUUAUUGUCCAAGUUUAUGAUAUUUUAUUUAAAAUUAUAAAAUCAAACAAUUCCGUCAUUUCAAUUAACGAAAGAAACUCAAUUGAAUAAUCACUGUAAAGACAUUGCAUUUGUUUAACUAAAAUGCAUGCAUUACUUCUUUAGAGAAUCAACUAGAGACAUCGCGUGUUGUAAGGAUGAGAGGGAGAGCUAGUGGGGGAGUAAACACCAGAAAGUGGCAUGGAGACCACGGUUCAUCACAGGAUUUCACAACGUUCUUUUUCUCCAAUUUUCC